rnacentral:rRNA from 1 species
GACGAACGCUGGCGGCGUGCUUAACACAUGCAAGUCGAACGGAAAGGCCCUGCUCUUGUGGGGUGCUCGAGUGGCGAACGGGUGAGUAACACGUGAGUAACCUGCCCUUGACUUUGGGAUAACUUCAGGAAACUGGGGCUAAUAUCGGAUAGGAGCUCCUGCUGCACGGUGGGGGUUGGAAAGAUUCGGCGGUUGGGGAUGGACUAGGGGCUUAUCAGCCUGGUGGUGGGGUAGUGGAUUACCAGGGCUUUGAUGGGUAGCCCGCGUGAGAGGGUGGCCGGCCGCACUGGAACUGAGACACGGCCCAGAGGGCUACGGGAGGCAGCAGUAGGGAAUCUUGGGGAAGGGGCGGGAGCAUGACGGAACAAGGCCGAGUGAGUGAUGAAGGUCCCCGGAUCGGAAAACUCGGUUAUUAGGGAAGAACAACUGUGUAAGUAUCUAUGCACGUCUUGACGGUAACUGGUCAGAAAGCCACGGCUAACUACGUG